GUUGAAACGCCACAAAAAAUUGAGCUUUGGUUUGUUAAAUUUUGUCAAGUGAUUUGCUUUAAUGGUUAAGUGCUUUAGAUAUGUGUUUGAAGUCAUAUGUUCAAAUCUCGCUUUUUGAAAUUUUUGCUAUUUUUGUUUCUAUCCCUAUCUCUGUUUAUUGGGCUUAGAUUUUAUUUUUACAAAAUUUGCGCUAAGAAUGAUCCAGCUAGCUUAGUGGUAAGGAGUCCGCUUAUAUUAGGGUUUUGAGUUGGAUUUUAUUUUAUUAUCUUUAUUUUGUUUUGAAAUUAAAAAAAAAGAGGAUUUCUCAAAAACUUUCCCCACUUCGCACAUUCCUUCUUUUCUCCCUUUUCUGUUCACUUUGUUUCUCUUUCCUUUUCAUGUGGAUUCUAGGAAAGGAAGGUCUUCGAAUUUUCUUUCUUCCUUUCUUGAUUUUGUUUCCCAAAAUUUUCUUUGUGUUCUUGACUUGUUGUUCUUGUGGCACUCAAUUUCGGUGGUGGGUGUUGAUUGAAUUGUUUGUAACUCGAUUCUUGAGUGAAGGUCACGGAACGAUUAAUCCACUGGAGGAUUAAGGCUUGUGAAGGUGUUUUGUACGUCCAGGGGUGCCGAUAUACUCGUUUUUGGAACCUACAUCGGAAAACUUCCAGAUGUGUAACGAAAACUCGAAAAAUAGUAAACAACUAAAAGCUGAAAAAUUGGACUAUCGAUGCCACAUGGUCUAGGUCAAUUGGGCCGUGUGGGCCACACAAGCUGGCCAAGUAGGCAUGUGGGCCACACAGGCGUGUGAGCCCAAAUUUUGAAAUUUAUCCCUAAGGUUGUAAUCAUCGUAUGAAUCGAAUAUAGCCCUUCCAUAGGGUCCAUAUGGUACAAAUUGGUCUAUAAAUCAUGAUUUUUGAUGCUCUGUUAGUGUUAAA